rnacentral:misc_RNA from 1 species
AACCUCACCUCGGACCCGCCUACCGCUCGUCCCACAGCUCCUGGAGAUCCAGCUAUUCUCGCGAGCCCAAAAGGAGGAGGAUGGAGACUCACUCUGUGUGGGCAUGUGUGAGCACUGAUGAGGAGGCAGAGGUGGCUUUCGGCGGGUCAGGAGUUACGGCGCUCCCAACUGCAGCAGUCCCUCCGCUUUGCGAGCAAGGCACCUCCACGACCCUUCCUGCUCCGACGAGCGUGCUACAAUGCAGCGCAUCGCCGGACGACGCCUGAGAAGUCGCGCCAACGAGCUAACAAUCAAGACCCAACGCUUCGACCGAGAUCUCCUCCUGGACCUGCAACUUGCUCUUC